UACGGAGGUCCCAAGCGUUGUUCGGAAUUACUGGGCGUAAAGGGAGCGCAGGCGGACAGGUCAGUCUAAAGUGGAAUCCCGGGGCUCAACCUCGGAACUGCUUCGGAUACUGCCUGUCUUGAGUUCGUGAGAGGAAAGCGGAAUUCAGGGUGUAGCGGUGAAAUGCUUAGAUAUCCUGAGGAACACCCGUGGCGAAGGCGGCCCUCUGGCUCGACCCUGACGCUGAGGCGCGAAAGCGUGGGGAGCGAACGGG
rnacentral:rRNA from 1 species